UAUGACAGUGAUGGCUGACCAGGCUUCCUGACCUAUACAGGCCUCUGCUAUGGGGGUGAUGGCCAGCCCUGGUACCUGGUCUCU
rnacentral:snoRNA from 1 species